UAUUGUUCGACUUCUUGGGGCUGU
rnacentral:siRNA from 1 species